AUGGCUAUAUCAUGUUUAAACACUAUUUCCCAUACAAUCACCGAAGUUAAGCAAUGUCGAACCUGGUCAGUACUUUGAUAGGUGACUGCUUGAAAAUACCAGUUGCUGUAAG